GGAGGAUUCAUUCUGAGUUUAUAUUGAGACUCCUGUACAUUCUAGACGAAAGUGAACUUCAUUUGGCUUGCAAAGAGGUUGUAAACUCCAGCCUGUGGAGAAUAUUUACGUAGGCCCUGAAACAUUUUGUGUGGAAGAAGUCACCCAAAUAUUUUUACGCACAAGACUUCAAGGAAAAAAAUGAUGCUGUUAGUAAUAAAUAUUAAUAGUCUGUUUCGUUUCUUGGUGUUACUUCUGUUGCUGUGUACAUCUAACGAGGCAUUUGUGACAACUGAGCAUGCAGCCAAAGAAGGUGAUGAUGCAGUGUUGGUACCAUGUGACUAUUCACAAUUUCAUUUAAUACCCGAUGUUAUUACUUGGAAUGAAGUGAAUGAAAUCGGAUUAUAUAUUACACGUGAUAUUGUAAAUGACCAAAAAACAGUCAGUGGACGUUUCAGCUUAAGAACAACACCGAAGAAGCCUUACCUGGUUAUCUCAAAGCCAGUAAGGAAUGAUUCCAAGAGAAUAUUUCAAUG